UUGACCUCGAAUCAGGUAGGGAUACCCGCU
rnacentral:rRNA from 14 species